AGGAACCGUACCCCAAACCGACACAGGUGGUUGGGUAGAGAAUACCAAGGCGCUUGAGAGAACUCGGGUGAAGGAACUAGGCAAAAUGGCACCGUAACUUCGGGAGAAGGUGCGCCGGUGAGGGUGAAGGACUUGCUCCGUAAGCCCAUGCCGGUCGAAGAUACCAGGCCGCUGCGACUGUUUAUUAAAAACACAGCACUCUGCAAACACGAAAGUGGACGUAUAGGGUGUGACGCCUGCCCGGUGCCGGAAGGUUAAUUGAUGGGGUUAGCUAACGCGAAGCUCUUGAUCGAAGCCCCGGUAAACGGCGGCCGUAACUAUAACGGUCCUAAGGUAGCGAAAUUCCUUGUCGGGUAAGUUCCGACCUGCACGAAUGGCGUAACGAUGGCGGCGCUGUCUCCACCCGAGACUCAGUGAAAUUGAAAUCGCUGUGAAGAUGCAGUGUAUCCGCGGCUAGACGGAAAGACCCCGUGAACCUUUACUAUAGCUUUGCACUGGACUUUGAAUUUGCUUGUGUAGGAUAGGUGGGAGGCUUUGAAGCGUGGACGCCAGUUCGCGUGGAGCCAUCCUUGAAAUACCACCCUGGCAACUUUGAGGUUCUAACUCAGGUCCGUUAUCCGGAUCGAGGACAGUGUAUGGUGGGUAGUUUGACUGGGGCGGUCUCCUCCUAAAGAGUAACGGAGGAGUACGAAGGUGCGCUCAGACCGGUCGGAAAUCGGUCGUAGAGUAUAAAGGCAAAAGCGCGCUUGACUGCGAGACAGACACGUCGAGCAGGUACGAAAGUAGGUCUUAGUGAUCCGGUGGUUCUGUAUGGAAGGGCCAUCGCUCAACGGAUAAAAGGUACUCCGGGGAUAACAGGCUGAUACCGCCCAAGAGUUCAUAUCGACGGCGGUGUUUGGCACCUCGAUGUCGGCUCAUCACAUCCUGGGGCUGAAGCCGGUCCCAAGGGUAUGGCUGUUCGCCAUUUAAAGUGGUACGCGAGCUGGGUUUAGAACGUCGUGAGACAGUUCGGUCCCUAUCUGCCGUGGACGUUUGAGAUUUGAGAGGGGCUGCUCCUAGUACGAGAGGACCGGAGUGGACGAACCUCUGGUGUUCCGGUUGUCACGCCAGUGGCAUUGCCGGGUAGCUAUGUUCGGAAGAGAUAACCGCUGAAAGCAUCUAAGCGGGAAACUUGCCUCAAGAUGAGAUCUCACUGGAGCCUUGAGCUCCCUGAAGGGCCGUCGAAGACUACGACGUUGAUAGGUUGGGUGUGUAAGCGCUGUGAGGCGUUGAGCUAACCAAUACUAAUUGCCCGUGAGGCUUGACCAU
rnacentral:rRNA from 1 species